ACUCCUACGGGAGGCAGCAGUAAGGAAUAUUGGACAAUGGGCGAAAGCCUGAUCCAGCCAUCCCGCGUGCAGGAUGACGGCCCUAUGGGUUGUAAACUGUCUUUUGUUUGAGAAGAAACGCCUGGAUUUAUCCGGGCCUGACGGUAUCUUACGAAUAAGCACCGGCUAACUCCGUGCCAGCAGCCGCGGUAAUACGGAGGGUGCAAGCGUUAUCCGGAAUCACUGGGUUUAAAGGGUGAGCAGGCGGAUAAAUAAGUCAGAGGUGAAAUCUUGCAGCUUAACUGUAAAACUGCCUUUGAUACUGUUUAUCUUGAAUUAGGUUGAGGUCAGCGGAAUGUGACAUGUAGCGGUGAAAUGCGGAGAUAUGUCAUAGAACACCAAUUGCGAAGGCAGCUGACUGGGCCUUAAUUGACGCUGAGUCACGAAAGCGUGGGAGCGAACAGGAUUAGAUACCCCUGGUAGACUGUCA
rnacentral:rRNA from 1 species